UUGAAAUAAUGGCAAUGUGUUUAAUCAAUAACAGUUCACCUAGCAAAUGUUGAUAAUUUGGGUAUGAUUAU
ensembl:snoRNA